AUGCCAGGCAGUUCCUGUCUCCCAGUGCCUUCGUCCGUGCCACACCCCCGCCCCCCAUCCCCAACCCCAUCCCGCCUCACUGGUCCUCAGUCACCAUGGCGACCGCAUCUCUAAGUGGGAGGGACUAGAAUCUCCCCAUAUUCUUCCUCCUCCUACCCGUGUCCCCCUGCGCCCCACCUUCUGCUGCUCGUGGAUCCACAGUGUGGGGGAGGUGGGACUCCAGAUAUGGGGGGAGCCCCUGGGGGUCCUUGCUCAGCUCCCUCUCCCCCUGUCAGGCAGGCACCACCUCGUCGAUGUCCCCUAGCUGGGUUCAGGGGUCACGUGGGGCCAAUUCUCUUUUAUGGUCAAUUUCUCAGGGUUUCCCUCUUCCCUGGGAACUGUGUAUAUGCACGGGGACAGGGGGUCAUAACUGGAUGCCAGCUGGCCGGACCCCGUGCACACUGAGUUUGCCAAGGAGGAGGUGAAUGCACAUACAGAGAUCUGUGCAAACAGGCCGAGGGACAGGGGCUCCGUCAAGCAGGCUAAGAGGCCCUCUUCCAUCCUUACUAUCCUGGCUUCCGGGUUCAGGUUCUGCCAUUUCUUCCCAAGCCACUGUGCCAGAAGGCUUCUUUGGCCAACCCCCUGAGACCCGUUAGGAGAAGUCUUAUGCUCUAAGAGGAAGGAUGAGGGCAGACUUCAGAAGGGACUUUCCAAAGGUCGAGGCCAGAUAGGGAUAACACAGAGACAGGCUGAGCUAUUAUUGUUCCCCAGCUAUGAAGGAGCAAGCAGGGGCUCUGGGGGCAGUGUUGAAGCUGGGCCUGUGUCCUCUCCCAGCCCUGACCCUGAGCACCUACUCAGCACAGCGCCCUCCUGUCCCCGCUGGACCUCAGCUUUCUCACUGCUAACAGGAGGAGGUGGAAAAGCCCCUUCAGGGUUGGCCCCUCUCUCGGCCUGUGGGAAGACUGGGAAACAGACAGCCCGGGGCCAGGGCGCAGAAGGCCUGGGUCCCAGGCACGGCUGCCUGUAACUUCCUGUGUGACCCUGGGCAUCUUGCUUGUCCUCUCUGAUUCCAGCCUACCUGGGAGCAGCUCAGCUCAUUUCGAGACUUCAUAGUAUUUUUAAGAAGGAAGUAAGUGUGCUGGGACCAGCCCCAGGCUCAGGGGUUCAGAGGCCAAGCCUGGUUCCCUUUCAGGUCUGGGUCGGGGUGGUGGGUGAGCGUUUCCGUCUGGAGUGGGGUGGCGAGGGCAAGGCCUGGGCCAAAAGCAGAAGUGGACUCUGAGCAGAGCUCUGUCACCACCCCCACCGCCACCAUCUCUUCACUGCCGCCAGCACCCAGGCCUCGGGGCUUCGGAGGGCACCCGCAGGCUCCUCUCCCCCUGGACGGGGCUGUGGUAGCGGGGGAAGAACCGAUUGGAAAUCCAGGUGGCCAGGCCCAGAGGGAACUGGGCUAGCGGUGGAACAGGAAGGAAGAAGAGAGAGACAGAAUGCGAGCAGGACAGGAGCAGAGAGAGAGGGAGACGCAGAAUCCGAAGCAGGCUCCGGGUUCCGAGCCGUCAGCACGGAGCCCGACGCGGGGCUCGGACCCACAAACCGUGAGAUCGUGACCUGAGCUCUGAAGUCGGACGCCCAACCGACUGAGCCACCCAGGCGCCCCUGAUUUCAUUUCUUUUCAAAGAAACGCAGUUGGGAAACAACGACGUGUGAUCACUUUCCUAUCAAGUCGGCAAGGAUUAAAACCAGCAACAGCUUGGUGUCAGGUAGCCGCUCGCGGAAAAGUGAGCUCAGCAGCAGGUCAGGACAGGAAGGUCUAGUUUCUCUGGAAGGUGGUUGGCAACAUCAUCAACAGCUUUUGCGACGUACACAGCCCUGACGCAGCCAGUCCUGUUCCUGGAGUUCACUUCGUGGAAAUGCCCAGAGAUGCCUGGGCAGAUGUCUGUCCCAGGAGACGUUAUUUGCAACGAGCCGCGGAACAUGGCAGACGUACGGACGUAUUUGAAAAUCGAAACUGCACAGAACGGUUGGAGGCCUCCCCCCGCAACUGUUGACGGUGGCCGUGGGGCAGUAGUGAAAGUGCCGAUAAGGAGGGUGGGCCUCUCUCCCCUUUUCUACCCACCCUGGGACGACCAAGUAUCACUUAUAUGAGCCAGUGGAGAAAGAAUCCAUGUUAUUUACAAAUCACGUUUAUAAACUUAGGAAGAACCUGGGAAAGGGCUCACGCAUGUGAACUGGAAAGCAGAAUCAAAAUUUAAGCCGCAGCGAGAUCUUAACUGUGUAAAGCAUGUGUUCAAGGACGACGUCUGCGAAGAAACCCGUCAGUGGCUGUCUCGGGGUGACUGCAAACGGAUGACUUUCUCCCCUUUUUACUUACCUGCGUUUUCAGUUUUACUGCAGACUAUCACUACGUGAUGCCAAAAAAAACCACGUUUUAAAAAUUAAUCUCUUUGGCCUGCCACGCGCGCGGGGCUGCGUCGCGGCGCGGCGACAGGCGUGGGAGCCGAGGCACCUGGGCGCGAGUCCCCCGCGCCGUCGCCUGGGUCCCCGGGGCCGCGCCCGCAGCCACCGCCCGGGCGGCGCUCUGGCGCUCUCGGGUGCCCGGCCCGGGGAGUGCACGGGACGGACCCCUCGGCCGCCACCCAGGGGCCCAAACCCGUCGGCCCGCGGGCGGCCCGGGGGCGCCAUGGCCGGGCAGGGAGGGGGUUUCCUUCUCGGAAGCUGCCCACCUCCGGCAGGGACCCUUUCCUCAAGCUCACACCCCUCCCUCUCAGCAUCCCUCUUCCAGGGGCACCUGGCCGCAGCCCCCUUAACACUUUUUCCAAGAAUGUCCCCCAUCAUCCCAGACCUUGCUCUUUUUCUCACUGACUUGUCACUGCGGCCCAGCUCCUUCGCCCCAGGGAACAUAUACUUUAACAUCUCUGCUUUCCCUUCAGAGGGGAGAGUGAUGUCACAGGAGCAGGGGCGCCUACUGGCCGUGUGGCAGUUCACUUAGAGCCCCCGUUUCCAGGGGCAGAGGGGAUGAUCCCUCUCAAGACUACGGGGGGCCAAAUGAAAUAGGGCAGAGAUGCUUCGGGAUCUAGAAAGGGCCAGGGGAGCGGUUGCUGUCCGUGGCUCCUGUUCCCUGUGUGGGGCCCUCCCCUCGCCCCAGACCCCUGGCUCCUGGCUUAUAAAGUCAUCUCCCCCUCCGAGGCUCCUGCUCCCCCGAACAGUCCCCUCGUCUGCAGCCGCACGCACAUGCUGGGACGUCGGCUGGGGUGGAGUUUCUCCGAGGACGCGGAGUGUGCGGUCCUGUCUGUCUCCCUGCCCCCAAGCUGAGCACAAAGGGACCUCGGCUGCUGGCUUGCAAAGUCAGACCGAAGGCUGUCCUGCUGCCCUCACUCUCUCCUACACCCUCCCCCGUUUGUCCUUGCCCCAGGUCCCGAGGCAGCUCGGGGCCUGGCAGACAGAAGGCUCUCAGGUGGGUGCUGACCGGAUGAAGGAGGUUAGGAAGGCGGGGCCCUCCAUCAGGCUCUACCCCUCUGUCCUUGGGGACAGGGCCCUGCUGAUGUCAAAGCCUCUCCCCACCAGGCACCGGAGGACCCAGGUGUGGAUCCGAAGCUCUGAGGGCUUCAGCUCGCGUGCCCCAGAGCAGGGGUGAGGCUGGACGGUCCCGAGCACGAGGAUGCGGGUGACCACGCGACAUGUGUGUGUGCGUGUGUGUCUGCCCCUCCAAACUCUCGGUGACGCCCAUCAACAGAGACAGAUACCACAGCAGCCAGGGAUAGAAACAACUAGUGUAUUGAUUUGGGGAGAGAGAAGGGUGCAGAUGGGAAAGGGGGGGCAAGGGGCUCUUUAGUGUUUGCAAAACCACAGAUGCACAUCCUCCACCGCUUGUCACCUUCCUCCUCUGGGGUGGGGCCACGGCAGGCUCCCACCCUUCCUCGAACCCUCCCCUCUCCCUGCUCCCCUGCACCCACUUGACCUUGACCUCCAGUAACAGGGCAGAGCCCUCCCUUCUGGCUUCCAGGUGAGGCAGGCUCAAAGAACCUUCCUUCCCCUCUUUCCCACCUCAUUCCCAUCUCUUGUCUAAAUAAAAUACAGAAAAAGCAAGUGCGGCUGGUACCUGGCAGAAUGAGUCGCCCCCGGGGCUGGGGCAGGGGUGGGACUGGGACGGGGCGGGCAAGGAGCCUCAGCCAGGUGUAGUGGACCGACGGGGGCUGGCCGAGGGGCCCGGCUCGGCCCCCUCUCCCUUGGAGGCCGGCCCAGAAGGCUCCACACCCGCCUCGCAGGCACCAUGUUCGUGGGGUCCCCGGGGUGGGGGCAGCAGCAGGGCGCAGAAGCAGAAACUAGGCUCUGUAAAAAGCAUCCCUUUCCCUCGGCUUCUGGAGGAAGCCCUCUUUGGUUUUAAGGCAGAUGUGAGUUUCCUGGAAGCAGGGAAAGGACGGGGGUGGAGAUAGAGCUUUUUUUUUUUUUUUUUUUUUUUUU